UAAGAGAUGAGAUUGCUGGGACUUUGAUCAAGAUCUUUGUUUCCCAGCUAGCCACAGAUGUGGUGCCAAAGGACCAGUGGUUAGAUAAUGUUGUUCCUUUGUUCAAAAAAAGAAAUAGGAAUAAUCCCUGAAAUGAUAGAACCAUGAACCUCGUGUCACCGGUAGGGAAACAAAUAGAGAAGAUUCUUAGAGUUAGGAUUGAUGAGCACUUGAAGGAGUAUGGUUUAAUUACUUAAUAUACCUAAUUAUUAGUAUGGUGGGAGGAGAAGAUGGCAGCGUGACGCAGCACGCGCGGCCGUUCCGAAUGAAUAUCGAUAUGUGUAACUAGGGGUGCCGUACACAAUCCGGAUUUGAUGGGGACAGCCGUGAAGCACAGAGGAACAUCUGGAGAAAUUUCUGAAAUGCAUGCUUUGCUGCUGCUGCUACUGUGCGAUCGAGAAUCUCGGGAGACGAAGGCCCCAAAUCCUCGGCUUUGCGUAUCACCUGUCGCCGGGGCCGGGGUCGAAACGCUCGGCAGAGAUGGCGCUCGGUGCUCGGUGUGGAAUAGGUGGUCGGAGGCUCAGAGUUUUUCAGUCGGACUGUGGUCGGAUGUUUCCGGGAUGCUGCAUCGGCAAGUUGGCGGUGCUGGAGGUUUACCGUCUGCGUGAGAUGAUGGGACUUCUGAGAGACUCUGAGACUUUUACUGUGCCAUGAAGAGGACAAGACCAGAACAUAUGUGGCAAGGAAGCUACCUCAGAAUUACAUCGAUCACAAACAGGAUUUAUAUGGCAGUAAAAGCGAACUAACUUAUCCUUGGACAUAUGAGAUCCUUCGGUUAAAUUCGAAGAAACUUGGAGGCCAUUUAUUCAAUAUUUUCACAUGAUAUAUUCGUGGGUUUUUCUUCGGCAGAAGAUGGAGAGAGAAGAUGCCAGAUCGGAGAGGUCGUAGACUGCAGGACUGAGUGGACGAGGAAUAGGGUCAGGAGCCAACGACGCCCAGGGCAAAUCGAUGGAGAAUGAAUGGAUGGGAAAGUCGUGAGCUCCAAUGUGCGUAUUAGAAUGUUUCAUCAAAAUGGGCCCUUUUCUUUUUGUUUUCUUUACUAAGCCUCUAGUCAAACUAAGAAUUAUAAAGCUAAAUCAUUUAAUUGUAUAUGUGUACUGUUUGUUGUUUCGUGGUACUGAUCUGUAACCGGACAAUGCAGCAUCCACAUAAACAAGAUUUCUCAAAUUUGGCUGGGCUGGAGGCAGUCUUCCCCUAGACAAACACAUGCUGGCCGAAUCUAAGGGUGACACUGUGAAAUACUUCAACAGUUGUUUUGGGUGUGACAAUAUAGUCAGUGAUGAUGACAGUAGUCUCCAGCUGUGAGUACCACCCAGUCCGUACAUUCAUAGCAGUCCAGCAGGUUUCCCCUGUUCUUUAUUCUGCAGUUUGACAUUUUUUUUAGCUGCGCCCUCCAUUUAAGUAUUGAUCGGUAGGUGGGCACUAGAUGAACGAUGUUGUGGUCGGCUGUGCUUAGUGGUGCCUCGAUAACCGUUAUUUACAUUCUCAUGACAGAGGUCAAUUGUCUUGUUGCCUCUUGUGGCACAUGGUAUAUAGUGUUGAUACGUGUGCAGAACUGUAUUAAGUCGGCAGCUGUUAAAAUCUCCCAGAAUUAAAACAGGAGAAAUCGGGAGCGUUAUUCUCCGGACCAACACACACGAAAUGGUGGAGGAACUCAGCAGGCCAUGCAGCAUCUAUGGAAAAAAGCACAGUCGACGUUUCGGGCCUAUUUGUGUGUGUUACUCGGAUUUCCAGCACCUGCAGCUUUUCUCUUGUUUGAGUGCUAUUCUCUAUGCGCUGCAUGCACACGGUGACUUCCUCUGCCGUGCGAGUGGCAUUUGCGGAAGAGAGAAUAUAUACCAUGACACAAUUCAGCUGGCCAAAUCCUGCAGGCAAAUAAUCUUGGCCUAAAUUAGUGGCCAGCAGUUCAGCAUCUGGUGAACAGUGUGUCUCUUUCAUCUUUACAGUUUUGCACCAAGCUUCCUGUACAUAUAUACAUAGAAACAUAGAAAAUCUACAGCACAAUACAGGCCCUUCAGCCCACAAAGCUGUGCUGAACAUGUCCUUACCUUAGAAGUUACCUAGGGUUACCCAUAGCCCUCUAUUUUUCUAAGCUCCAUGUACCUAUCCAGGAGUCUCUUAAAAGACCCUAUCGUACCUGCCUCACCACCAUCACCAGCAGCCCAUUCCAUGCACUCACUACUCUCUGCAUAAAAAACUUACCCCUGACAUCUCCUCCGUACCUACUUCCAAGCACCUUAGAACUGUGCCCUCUCAUGCUAGCCAUUUCAGCCCUGGGUAAAAGCCUCUGACUAUCCACAUGGUCAAUGCCUCUCAUCAUCUUAUACACCUCUGUCAGGUUACCUCUCAUCCUCCGUCACUCCAAGGAGAAACGGCCGAGUUCACUCAACCUGUUCUCAUAAGGCAUGCUCCCCAAUCCAGGCAACAUUCUUGUAAAUCUUCUCGGCACCCUUUCUAUGGCUUCCACAUCCUUCCUGUAGUGAGGCAACCAGAUAGGAGCACAGUACUCCAAGUGGGGUCUGACCAGGGUCCUAUAAAGCUGCAACAUUACCUCUCAGUUCCUAAACUCAGUCCCACGAUUGCUGAAGGACAAUACACGGUAUGCCUUCUUAAGCACAGAGUCAACCUGCACAGCAGCUUUGAGUGUCCUAGUGACUUGGACCUCAAGAUCUCUCUGAUUCUCCACACUACCAAGAGUCUUACCAUUAAUACUAUAUUCUGCCAUCGUAUUUGAUGUACCAAAAUGAACCACCUCACACUUAUCUGGGUUGAACUCCAUCUCCCACUUCUCAGCCCAGUUUUGCAUCCCAUCAAUGUCCCGCUGUAACCUCUGACAGCCCUCCACACUAUCCACAACACCCCUAACCCCCAACAUAAACCACCUCUGUGAUUUUAACCACUUUUGUUAUAAUCGUGGUCUAAUUGAAGCAGUACUCCAAAACCGUCCAGAGAAAGUUCUCAGUUCACAACUGUAACAUCAAACCUGGUCUCUGCGAUACGUAUUUAAUAUUCGCACUGCUUGACUUGGACAAAUUCAGAGAACGGGCAAAGACGUUGCAGCUGGCAUACAGUGUAGAGAAGCGUAUGAUCAUGCAUCUUUGUAGACUAUUUUCUAAACGGGGACCAAAUUUCAGAAAUUGGAGGUGCAAAGGGACUUGGGAGUCAGACCAUGUUUGGAGUAUUUUGAGCAAUUUUGAGCCCCAUAUACGGGAAUUAAAGUGUUAGCAUAUGAGGAGCAUUUGGUGGUACUGAGUCUAUACUCGGGGAAGUUCAGAAGAAUGGGGGUGGGGGUGCAGAUCUCAUUGAAACCCUAUGGAAUAAUGAAAGGCCUAGAUGGAGUGGAUGUGGAGAGGAUAUUUCCUAUAGUGGUAGAGUCUGGGACCAGAGGGCACAGCCUCAGAAUAGGGACGUCUAUUUAGAACAGAGGUAAGUAAGAAUGCCUUUAGCCAGAGGAUAGUGAAUCUAUGGAAUUCAUGGCUACAGACUGCCGUGGAGACCAAGUCAUCAUGUAUUCUAAAGUGAGAUUUUGACAGGCUCUUGAUUAGUAAGGGCAUCAAACGUUACAGGAAGAAAGCAGGAGAAUAAGGUUGAGAGGGAAAUAAAUCAGCCUUGAUCAGAUGGUGAAGCAGACUCAAUGGGCUGAAUGGCAUAAUUCUGCACCUAUGUCCUAUAGUCCUAUGGUUCCAUUUCUCUCAUCUCUUUGAUAUUUAACAUCAUUCUUGAACCCAAGAUUAUUCUGCCAUAAUGUGGGCCCAUUAAACAAGCUUCAUGUGGCAUGUUAGCACAGUUUUCAACAUCAUUAAUCUUCCAGGCCAUCAGUGACCUGCUAACAUAGAACUUUCUCCUUUUGUUCAUACCCAAGACAACCUAUUCACUGCUACAGCUAUCGAGGAAGAGCGCAAGAGGAUGUUUAGAUGCUGUCCAGAGCUUCUACCUGUGCAAUAUCAAAAUCAUUCUGAGAAAGUGAGCAAUCCUGUUGUACAAAAUAUGUUGUACAUUUAGGCCUAUGUAUGAAAGAAAAUGGAUUUAACCUGAUAGGGAGAAGAUAGUAGUAAUGUUGAAGGUUAACAAACUGGAAAAAGUCAGUGUGCAGGGCUUUCCUUACCACAUUACAAUAUUGUGCCAUGUUCUAUAAAAUCUUGCCAGAAUAUUAAUAUUUAUUGAGAAAAGAUUAGCACCGUUGUUGGGAUGAAGAGCAAUGGAAGAUAUAUUGUAAGCAUGCUGGUGGGAACGGACACACAGUAAAGAAGUGGCUCAUUCUUCAGUGGGCCCUGAUUCAAUCCUGUCCUGUCCCUGUGGAGUUUGCAUGCCCACUCUGUGCUAAAUAAUGUGUUGGUAGGUCAAUUGGCCACUACAAAUUACCUUACUCCAGAUGGCAAGAGAAUUAAAAGGGAUUCUAAAAGAAGACAAGGAGUUUAAUGAAUGAGGAAAUGAGAUUGCUCCAUGUCAUAAUUAAUAGUAAGUAAGUAAGGUGAGGCUUAACAGCAAGUCAAUCUUGUCAACAUGAGAGAUUCUGCAGUUGCUGGAAAUACAAAGCAACACACACAGAAUGCUGGUAGAAUUCAGCAGGUUGGGCAGCACCUAUGGAAAUGAAUAAACAGUCGGUGUUUCAGGCCAACACCCUUCUUCAUGGCUGAAGAAGUCAGUUUUGAGGUGCUCCAACAGAAAACAAAGCAUUGGGAAUUUUCUAUGUUGCCUCUAAUUGCAGCAUAGUUGCUGUCUUCACUGAAAAUAAAACAGUACCAUGGGGGAGCUAGUUGAUAUAGUGUAUUUGGACUUUGAAAAGAUAAGGUGCCACAGAUGGGACUGAGAAUAUACACACACACACACACAUACACACACACAUUAUUCUUGGGAACUGUUUUCUGCUCAGGUGAAAUUUCAUGAGUAAAAAAUUAAGUGUGACUAAUUUCAUUUUAAUAGUGAGCAGCCAAAGAAUGUACAGUGCAGACAUGAGUGAAGUUGUUGGUUGGUGCUUGAUAUGCCUGUAGAAUGAUCAAUUUUAUAGACAUCUAUUUAUUUUGUUUAUAAUUAAUCAAUAUUCUUUAAAUAAUUCACUUUCUUGUCAAUGUGAUUAUCUCAUUGUUCUUGGUUUUCCUAUUCUUCGACCCUCAAUCGGUUUUUUCCAUUUAUAAACAAUCAGUAAAUUUAUUACACAGGAUUUACUUAUACAAUUUUAUUUUCUAAAAUUAAUUUCAGCAAUUUAUUAAGCUUUCAAGAUAUUAACAGCUUCUCCAUUGGUUCUGCAAGAUGUUAACCUUAUCAUCUGAACAUCAGCCUCAUUGUUAAAGCAGUUACUCUCUCUCCCAAAUUCUCUACUCCUCAAAACAGUCUUCAUAUUUGCUUAUAUAGGUUCAAAGAACAUAGAUUUAACAGAUAUGAUAUAGACCAGCUAACUCAUUCUGAAUAGACCUGAAAGGAUUUCAUUGUUUGGCUCUCAUAUAUGUAUCAGAUAAGCUAAACAUUCCAAGAUUAGCCUGCUAUGACUUGCUGUGAUGCAAAAGGGCAAAUGGCAAAUUGUUUCAUAUUUGCAGACUUGGUAAAAGAUCAACAAUGCUAUUAAUGAAUGACAGAACUGCCAUAAGGGGUAGAAUGGCUACUCCAGAUUUUAGUCUUUUCUUAUAUUUUUAACUUCAGCAAAACAUUGACAUCAACCAAAGUGUAAAAGAGAAGUCAUCAAAUAACAUAUAUAAGGAUCAUUGAGGUGAAAUUAGCUGAUGCAUGGUAACAUUUUAAUGCUGUCUCAAUUAGAUUAGAUUAUGAGGACAUGCAGUCCUCUUUUAUUGUCAUUUAGUAAUGCAUGCAUUAAGAAAUGAUACAAUAUUUCCUCCCGUGUGAUAUCACAAAACACAGGACAGACCAAGACUGAAAACCACAUAAUUAUAACAUAUAGUUACAACAGUGCAACAAUACCAUAACUUGAUGCAGAACAGUCCAUGGCACAGUAAAAGAGUUCAAAGUUUCUCGAAAGUCCCACAUCUCACACAGACGGGAGAAGGAAGAAAACUCUCCCUGCCAUGCCCGACCACAGUCCGAUUCUGAGUCGUCCGAAAACUUCGAGCCUCCAAUCAGCCCUCUGACACCGAGUACCGAGCACCAUCUCUGUCCGAACGAUUCGACCUCAAUCUCGGUCGCCAGCAGCAGGCAAAGCCGGGGAUUUUGAGGCCUUCCCUCCGGAAGAUUCUCCAUUGUGCAGUAACAGCAGCAGCGAACCUGCGUUUCAGAAAUUUCUCCAGAUGUUCCUCUGUGCUUUCAUGUCUGUCUCCAUCAGAUCAGAAUUGUCCACGGCCCCUAUUUAACGGAUAUGAUAUCAUUUUCACCGGACAGCUGCGCGCGCACAGCGCGCUGCUAUUGCCUCCUCCCUCCAAAUAGUUGAAAGUGAGGCACAUAGUCCCUAUUUAAUUUGAAAGCAAUUGGAAAGUUCUUGAUUGCAGCCCAGAUGUUGAAACUUACUUGAUGUAGCUUUGUAGUGCCAGCGUAUUGUUAAUGAAAAGAACUGCUGAGUCAUUGACCUUAAUGGGGAUUGAGUAAAAAGCCUAUAGUUGCUGGUUUAUACAAACUAGUAUUUAUUGACAUUUUGUUACCAUGUCUAUCGUUGACUUGGCUCGUAUUUACUCCCCAACCAACUCAGCUCCUUGCUAUGUUAGGGCAGUUUAUAGGAGCUUGCUUCACAAAUUGACUGUCACAUUUUUAGCAGUACAAAGUUUCUCAUUGGUGAAGAAAUGAGUCACAAGUCCCGUGGUGAUGAAAAACAUUAUAGGAACUCAAGUUCUUUUUUCUUUACAAUUUUACUAUUAUAUCAAAGGCAAAUUUGUUGUCUGUUGCAAUGCGGUAUUAAGACCAAACAAAAGCACAGUGUCUUGUAAAUGAAGGACAGAAUUUAAAAACAGACUAAAUCUAAAAUUAAAGCACCUAGUCCCAAGGCAAUGUUGACAAUCUUAUCCACCCAUUCAUCACAGAUUAUCAAAGACAAAUUUGUGCUCUAUUUUGUAAUGUGUUAUUAAGACAAAACAAGAACUCAGUUGUGUAAAUGAAUGAUAGAAUUUAAAAGUGGACGAAGUCUAAAAUUAAACAUUUACUCCCAAGGUAAGGAUGACAUUCUCAUACAUCUGUUCAUUUUACGAAUAAAUUAAGUUUACAUGCUCUCAUGAAUUUCAGGCAUAAUAUAGCUGUAAAUUUGUAAUAAGAGAAAUAUUUCAAUUUUAUAAAUGAUUUAUACUUUAUGUUAUGAAAUGCUUUAAAAGAAACUAAGAGCAAAGUGUGGCCCAUGAUUGGAAUAAAUUACGGAAGAGAGGAAAAGUUUGGAAUAAUACACCAGAAAAAAGUAUUAAUUCUAGCUGGAUGUGGAAAAUGCCGGUAACUGGAUGGGGAUCCUUGAAUAAGUCGAACAAUAGGAACCUUGAAAAUGAGGCUUUUUGAACUUGUAAUUGGACAAUUGUAAGUACUCUAUCGAUGGCAGAGAAAUGUACAUGUAACUUACAUAGGCUUGUUACUGCUGUACUUCCUUGGCUGCUUCAAAUGCUAGAAUAAGUUUUCAUUAUUCAUUCAGAUUGUAAGUAGUUUGUGAUCUUUUGAACACCUUACCUAAUAUUAAAUACCAUUUGCUGUCUUAAUUAUUUGCUCAGUCUGCGUACUUGCUUUUUUACAUGGGGAGAUCACUCUGAAGAUAAUUUUUUGGUCUCAAUUCUAUGUAAAUAUUCUGACUUUUUUAUUUCUCCAACUAAAAUGAAUGUCCUUGAUUUUCACUUUCUGCUCAAUUUUCCAUCUUUCCAUCUGCUUAAUCUGUCCAUUUUUUGUGUCAUA